UUUCCGUAGGUGAACCUGCGGAAGGAUCAUUAUUGUAUCAUCGAGGUGCGAGGUCUGUCGAUUACCCGAUAGGGUGUGCACGCACGAGUGCUCCCACACUCAACCAUUAAAUGCCUACGUGCACCACCGCGUGGGUCCCCCUUUGGCUUGUUUGGAGGGGGGCUUACGUUUUUACACAUACUUAGUAAGCAGCGUAGAACGUAAUUUGUGUUUUUGUGAUCACGCAAUCUAUACAACUUUCAACAAUGGAUAACUUGGCUUCCGCAUCGAUGCAGAAAG
rnacentral:misc_RNA from 1 species